rfam:Aschersonia aleyrodis RCEF 2490 scaffold_1, whole genome shotgun sequence.
GGCCGUGUGGCUCAAUGGCAGAGCGUCUGACUACGAUGCCUACAGUAAUCAGAAGGUCGCAGGUUCGACCCCUGUCUCGGUCA